rnacentral:rRNA from 1 species
UACGUAGGGUGCAAGCGUUGUCCGGAAUUAUUGGGCGUAAAGAGCUCGUAGGUGGCCUGUCGCGUCGGCUGUGAAAACUCGGGGCUCAACUCCGAGCUUGCAGUCGAUACGGGCAGGCUAGAGUUCGGCAGGGGAGACUGGAAUUCCUGGUGUAGCGGUGAAAUGCGCAGAUAUCAGGAGGAACACCGGUGGCGAAGGCGGGUCUCUGGGCCGAUACUGACACUGAGGAGCGAAAGCGUGGGGAACGAACAGG